GCCCGAAUAGCUCAGUGGUAGAGCGACUGACUGUUAAUCAGUAGGUCGUAGGUCCGAUCCCUACUCCGGGCG
rnacentral:tRNA from 2 species